UACGGAGGGUGCGAGCGUUAAUCGGAAUUACUGGGCGUAAACCGCACGUAGGCUGUUGCGUAAGUCAGGGGUGAAAGCCCACGGCUCAACCGUGGAACUGCCUUUGAUACUGCGUGACUGUAAUCCGGGAGAGGGCAGCGGAAUUCCAGGUGUAGGAGUGAAAUCCGUAGAUAUCUGGAAGAACAUCAGUGGCGAAGGCGGCUGCCUGGACCGGUAUUGACGCUGAGGUGCGAAAGCGUGGGGAGCAAAC
rnacentral:rRNA from 1 species